AUUGAACGCUGGCGGCAGGCUUAACACAUGCAAGUCGAGCGGUAGCACAGGGGAGCUUGCUCCCUGGGUGACGAGCGGCGGACGGGUGAGUAAUGUCUGGAAAACUGCCUGAUGGAGGGGGAUAACUACUGGAAACGGUAGCUAAUACCGCAUAACGUCGCAAGACCAAAGAGGGGGACCUUCGGGCCUCUUGCCAUCAGAUGUGCCCAGAUGGGAUUAGCUAGUAGGUGGGGUAAUGGCUCACCUAGGCGACGAUCCCUAGCUGGUCUGAGAGGAUGACCAGCCACACUGGAACUGAGACACGGUCCAGACUCCUACGGGAGGCAGCAGUGGGGAAUAUUGCACAAUGGGCGCAAGCCUGAUGCAGCCAUGCCGCGUGUGUGAAGAAGGCCUUCGGGUUGUAAAGCACUUUCAGAGAGGAGGAAGGUGGUGAGCUUAAUACGUUCAUCAAUUGACGUUACUCGAAGAAGAAGCACCGGCUAACUCCGUG
rnacentral:rRNA from 1 species